rnacentral:rRNA from 1 species
AUGCGGCCGUGGCCAUGGGCGGUCCUGGAGCGGGAUCGCGUGUGCGCUGCCUCCAACCUGCUUUGCUGCUCCUGCGAUCUCAAGGUAUGGUAUCGAUCUGCUUUGCGCGUUGCUUUAGCAAAACUGAUUAGUUAUCUAUACAUAGACGUGUGCAGAUCUGAGGACGAAGGGAAGAAUAAGAAGAAUUUAGCUAGAGAUUUGAAGAAGAUCAAGAAGGCCAAAAAAGGCAGAGACGAGUCAUGGAUCCUGCUGGCAAUGGCUACUGGUUGUAGAUGGAAUUUAAGAAGAGGAAUCGCAAAAGUUGUGCCCCAUGAGGCCAGCGACCAAAGGCCCGAUUCGUUUCCGUUGAAGGUUAUGUUCAGCUUGGCCCUUCAUCUGGGUGUAUGGUUAUCCUCAUCUCUAUACGCACAUGCAUGGACAAGCUUCAGUCUGAUGAGGAGAAAAACAAUCAUGUUGAGUUUUAAUCAGAACAGGUGGACAACCAUGUAA